GUGAAACAGUACCUGAAACCGGAUGCUUACAAGCUGAGGGAGCUCUUCGGAGUGACCUCGUACCUUUUGUAUAAUGGGUCAACGACUUAGUGUUGUAUGCAAGCUUAAGCCGAUAGGUGUAGGCGCAGCGAAAGCGAGUCUGAAUAGGGCGACCGAGUAUGCAGCAUUAGACCCGAAGGCAAGUGAUCUAGGUAUGGGCAGGGUGAAGGUGCAGUAACAUGCACUGGAGGCCCGAACCGUUGAGCGUUGAAAAGCUCUCGGAUGACCUGUGCCUAGGGGUGAAAGGCCAAUCAAACUUGCUGAUAGCUGG
rnacentral:rRNA from 1 species